GCAGCCGAAGGAGGGUGCACGGGACUGGGGAGCCCGGAGCCCGCAGACACUCCCCAGCCCAGCCGCUGUCACGACAAUCCAGCCUGGACAAAGGCCAUCAGGCUCCCAGCACCACAUAGGAGUGUCCAUCCAAAGGGAGAAGGCACCAGAGGAAGAAGCGGCUGGAGAAGGGGCAGCCAAAGCCAACCGCUCUGCAAUCCCCAUUGGCCCGCCCAGCCUAGUCACCAGGGUCUAUCACCUUUUUGCAUUUGGCCUCUACCAACGGACAUAUAGCAAGGGCAAAAGCUUAAACAUUUCCCCCUCUGCUUUGGUGACACUUUCCCCUGCGUCCAUAAGUCAGCUGACAUCAUGCUACAUAGAGCACUGGGCUUAGUGCCAGGAAGUCCCGGAUUCAAAUCCAGCCUCAGACAUUUACUAGUCCUGUGAAUGGAUGCCAUGGAUAGAGUAUACUUGCAAUCAGGAAGUUCAAGCCUG
rnacentral:lncRNA from 1 species